rnacentral:lncRNA from 1 species
GUACAGAACAGGUAACUAGGUCACUAUGGACAUUUACAAUAGAGGUACAGCACAGGUAAAUAGAUCACUAUGGACAUUUACAAUAGAGGUACAGCACAGGUAACUAGGUCACUAUGGACAUUUACAAUAGAGGUACAGCACAGGUAACUACGUCACUAUGGAUAUAUACGAUAGAGGUACAGCACAGGUAACUAGGUCACUAUGCACAUCUACAGUAGAGGUACAGUACAAGUAACUAGGUCACUAUUGACAUCUACAGUAGAGGUAUAGCACAGGUUACUAGGUCAUGUUUGACAUUUACAAUAGAGGUACAGCACAGGUAACUAGGCCACUAUGGACAUCUACAAUAGAGGUAUAGCACAUGUAACAAGGUCACUAUGGCCAUCUACAGUAGAGGUACAGCACAGGUAACUAGGUCACUAUGGACAUCUACAAUAGAGGUACAACACAGGUAACUAGGUCACUAUGGACAUCUACAGUAGAGGUACAGCACAGGUAACCAGGUCACUAUGGACAUCUACAAUAGAGGUACAACACAGGUAACUAGGUCACUAUGGACAUCUACAAUAUAGGUACAACACAGGUAACUAGGUCACUAUGGACAUCUACAAUAGAGGUACAGCACAGGUAACUAGGUCACUGGACUAUGGACAUUUACAAAAGAGGUACAGCACAGGUAACUAGGUCAUUAUUGACAUCUACAGUAGAGGUACAGCACAGGUAACUAGGUCACUAUGGACAUUUACAAUAGAGGUAUAGCACAGGUAACUAGGUCACUAUGGACAUUUACAAUAGAGGUAUAGCACAUGUAACAAGGUAACUAUGGACAUUUACAAUAGAAGUACAGCACAGGUAACUAGGUCACUAUGAACAUCUACAAUAGAGGUACAGCACAGGUAACUAGGUCAUUAUGAACAUCUACAAUAGAGGUUUUGCACAGGUAACUAGGUCACUAUGGACAUUUACAAUAGAGGUACAGCACAGGUAACUAGGUCACUAUUGACAUUUACAAUAGAGGUACAGCACAGGUAACUAGGUCACUAUGAACAUCUACAAUAGAGGUACAGCACAGGUAACUAGGUCACUAGGGACAUCUACAAUAGAGGGACAGCACAUGUAACAAGAUCACUAUGGACAUCUACAAUAGAGGUACAGCACAGGUAACUAGGUCACUAUGGACAUCUACAAUAGAGGGACAGCACAGGUAACUAGGUCACUAUGGACAUCUACAAUAGAGGUAUAGCACAUGUAACAAGGUCACUAUGGACAUCUACAAUAGAGGUACAGCACAUGUAACUAGGUCAUUAUUGACAUCUACAAUAGAGGUACAGCACAGGUAACUAGGUCACUAUGGACAUGUACAAUAGAGGUACAGCACAGGUAAAUAGGUCAUUAUGAACAUCUACAAUAGAGGUUUUGCACAGGUAAC